rnacentral:rRNA from 1 species
AACCUGGUUGAUCCUGCCAGUAGUCAUAUGCUUGUCUCAAAGACUAAGCCAUGCAUGUCUAAGUAUAAGUAUUAUACAGCGAAACUGCGAAUGGCUCAUUAAAACAGUUAUAAUUUAUUUGAUAAUCGAAUUUACAUGGAUAACCGUGGUAAUUCUAGAGCUAAUACAUGCUGGUAGGCCCGACUUUUUGGAAGGGCGGUAUUUAUUAGAUAACAAACCAAUAUUCCUCUGGUCUAUUGUGGUGAAUCAUAAUAACUGAUCGAAUCGCAAGGUUUUUAACCGCGAUAAGUCAUUCAAGUUUCUGCCCCAUCAGCUUUCGAUGGUAGUGUAUUGGACUACCAUGGCUUUUACGGGUAACGGAGGAUUAGGGUUCGAUUCCGGAGAGGGAGCCUGAGAAACGGCUACCACAUCUAAGGAAGGCAGCAGGCGCGUAAAUUACCCAAUCCUGACUCAGGGAGGUAGUGACAAGAAAUAACGGACCGAGGCCUUCGGGCUUCGGGAUUGCAAUGAGCCGAAUUUACACCCCUUAGCGAAGAUCGAUUGGAGGGCAAGUCUGGUGCCAGCAGCCGCGGUAAUUCCAGCUCCAAUAGCGUAUAUAAAUGUUGUUGCAGUUAAAAAGCUCGUAGU